AUAUAAUGGCUUUGUAAUCAAAAGUUUAGUAUACAGAAAACAAAAUAUCUCUUUCUCCUCAAAAGUUCUACCAAAAUUCUUCAAUAGUUCCUCUUUUUAAGAUAAACAAGAUAAGCUAUCUCUUCUCACAUUAUACUUGGACGCAACAUAUACAAAGAAACAAGUGAGGUAUGUGGACAGUUUUUGUAACAGCCCAUAACUCACACUUCUCUCACGUCCAACAAUAGGGAUGUGACCGGGCAUGAGAGGCAUGGUGUAACUCACACUUCUCUCACGUCCAACAAUAGCGCAUCGAGUGCCCGAUGAGGACUACCCUACUCUCCCAAGCUGAUAUAAAAAGAUGCUCGUAUAGACGAACAUAGGUUGAGUCCGAGUGCGGCGUUCGUCUUGGAGUGCACCUACGAACGACGCGAGCGGUUGUCGGAUUUUGCCGGAGAGCCUCUGCACCGUGGGCGGCAACAAAUUCUCUAAAGACAGUCGGCACGCCCGACGCUUCAACCGGAGAUACACAAAUUCUUAACUUUUACUCGUUUUACCUGUUUAUUGCAUGCUCGUCAUUUAUUGGUGCAAUUAUAGAUUAUUGUGUUAGCAUAAUCAGUUUUAUUACAAUUAAAACAUUAAUAACUGAAGUAGAUCUUCUAAUUAGGAUUUGGAAUGCAGUUAGUUAGGACUGAAAUGGAAAGGAGAUGUUUGAGAUAUCAUUCGAUUUUUUAUCAUGAACUAUUAAUUUGUUUAAACAAGAUUGGUGAGGUCAAGGAAGGUGGUGGAAAUUGAAAAUCCAUAAAGGAGGAAGAAAAAAAUAAGAAUAGAAGGAGAAGAAAGUGUCUGUCAAAGGAGAAGAGAAUAAUGAUUUAUUUUUAUAUCUUUCUAUCAUUUUGAGACCGUUUGGUAUGGGAUAUUUUCAUUUAGAUAUGAUGACUUGUUGAACUUGGAGAAUGUUAGAUUGAAAUGUUGGAUAUUUUUGGAUAUGAUGACUUGUAUGAAUAUUAUGUUUGUUUUGACUUGUUUCAAUAUGGUUUUAUUUUGGAUAUAUAUGUUUUAACUUGUAUGAAUAUGACUUGUUUGGAAUAUUGAGUAUGUUAGAACCCUGGGGUAGUUUUGAUGUGGUCAACCAAGUUUAGUUAGGUCUUGUUGUGCUUGAUCCUUAUGUCUAAGUGUGCAGAAGCUUAUGAGCAUGAGAAGUCGAGCGGAAGAUGCAGCUAGUGAGAAGGACGGCACGGGAGAGAGCCGACGGGCUUUAUACAUCCGAAGGACGAGGUGCUGAGAAAGAGUACGUAGGUGGACAAGAAGGACAUGUGCGACGUUCAAGGGACGAGAAGCCGGGGAGGAAGCCUGCUGAGGAGAAGGCCGGAAGAUGGGUCCGGGUGAGCCCAAUUCCGGACGGACAAAAUUACCAAGGUGAUCGAAACAGCAGAAGAGCUAAUGGGGAGCUGCGAAGCUGCUGGAGGCGCCCUUAAUAUGGUUGGAGGCACCUCCAUGCCUUUCUGUGGGAAGGCGCCUUCAACCACCCAUGGAAGGCGCCUUCAACCCUUUGAAGGUGCCUUAGACUAGGUAAAAUUAACCGUUAGCGAAGAUAAAACCUUAUAUUCGCUUGCCUAGUUGGAGGCGUCUUCCAACCUCGGAUAAAAUUUUCCAGAGGCCCCUGAACCUAGGAAAUAUAAAAUAACUCAAGUAUUCAUUUCCUAGUAACUUCUAAGUGUUCAACAAG